rnacentral:rRNA from 1 species
AGCAGCCGCGGUAAUUCCAGCUCCAAUAGCGUAUAUUAAAGUUGUUGCAGUUAAAAAGCUCGUAGUUGAAUUUCGGGAUCAUCAGGUUGGUCGUGCCUCUGGUAUGUACUGAUUUCGAUGGUUCCUCCUUCUUGAAGAGCCGUAAUGUCAUUAAUUUGGUGUUGCGGGGAGACUGGACUGUUACUUUGAAAAAUUAGAGUGUUUAAAGCAGGCUAACGCUUGAAUACAUUAGCAUGGAAUAAUGAAAUAGGACGUUCGAUCUUAUUUUGUUGGUUUCUAAGAUUGACGUAAUGAUUAAUAGGGAUAGUUGGGGGCAUUAGUAUUCAAUUGUCAGAGGUGAAAUUCUUGGAUUUAUUGAAGACUAACUACUGCGAAAGCAUUUGCCAAGGAUGUUUUCAUUAAUCAAGAACGAAAGUUAGGGGAUCGAAGACGAUCAGAUACCGUCGUAGUCUUAACCAUAAACUAUGCCGACUAGGGAUUGGAUGAUGUUAAUUUUUAAUGA